UCACCACAGCUUAUGUGAACUAAAAUCUAUUGUUACAAACAGAAUAUCAUGAAUGAAAUAUAUGCUCUGUAAGCAUGGUUUUGAAUAUCUAUUACAUUAUAGCCGUAUCAGCCAUUAUGUAAUGGUGUUGGUCACCCCUGUUACAUGCUGCACGGUUGAACCUGUCCGUUAAGAUAAAAAGGGCCAUUUCAGCUUGUAUUAUGGGCUGAUACACCCAGAUCAACACCUAUACAGGGUUGUUAUGGAUGGCUAAUAAAGGUUCCAGUUUGAAAUUUUUAUUUAAAAUUCUCUUGUUUUUCCAUUCUUUCUUCAUUUCUAUCAUGAAGCUUUAAAAAACAAAUUUUAGACUAGAUCUACAGCUCCAUAGAGGGUCAAAACAUAAGAUCGCGUGGGAUUUGACAAAUCCAAGUGGAAUGGAUCAUUUUGCGAACUAUUGGAAGAAGGGGUAAACCGUCACUUCCGUUUUUGUUUUUUCUUCUUUUUGUUAUAUGCAUAUGUAAUAGGCGAUAAAUCAUGCUUUGUUUUUGUUCGAUUAGGACCUAUUUAGUUGAAUUUCAACAGGUCAAGCUGACAGAACAUUCUCAUCAAACAAUGGGCUCAUACCCCACUGAAUACACGUUAUAAGAAAAAAAGAUUAUGAUGUUUUAUGUUUUUCCUGUUUUCCCAUUAUUUUGUCAAGAUUUUUUGUGCUAAAUUUUUUUUGGCCAAUACAGGUAUGAUAUGGUCCAAUAUGCCCUGCAUCAUAUUGUUUUUGGGCACAGCCAGGGAACCACAGUAAUCAAACAUAAGUGAAGCAUGGUUUGGUGGAUUGGGUAUAUUACUUUGAAAUACAAUAGCAGAAGAAAUAGGUUCUGUUGAUGCAGUUUUUCGUCGGACCCUUCGCGGCUGACCCUCUUGUACCUGCACAGGCGUAAAAAAGAAAUACAGGAGACCCUGGCUAAUGCAGGGGGCUCUCCGAUGCCUAAGUCAGGGAUGAGGUCUUUUUGUAGGGUAGGGUCUUUAAAAAAGAGACAUCAGUCAAAUGCUAAGGUAAGAAUUAGCGUACCUUUGAAGGUUGGGGAUACCUCUAUAUAUAUAGGAGAAAGAGUUUGAUUGAAUGUGGAUUCUUUUCAAUAUCUUGGAGAUUCGUCCAGAUCCAGGAUCCUUAGAGAUUACCGGCCUCCGAGAUUACCAAGAUUUGAUCUUAUCCUCUAAAGAUCUGGGGAGAGAUAUUCGGGAUGUUAGAGAUUUCUUCGGAUCUGUAGCUCGGUUGUAGGUUGGCUCCCACAGGCAGGUAAUAACUCGGGAAUAAGCAAUACCGAGCCUCUUAACAGAUCAGCAUUCAUCAUCUUCGACUAAUGUUUAGGUUGAGAGGUCCGCAUUCCCUUUAGCUGGGCGCUGAUGGCCCUUGAUCUUAUCACGGGGCGUCUUCUAGUUCUUGACCAAUCGGUGGCCUAUCUAUGGUCCUCCAAUGGCCAAGCUAUGAUUGAGUUAUAGCCAAGUGUUAACCGAUCUGGGGUUAAUCUAUGGUUAACCUAUAUUUGACCUAUGAUUGACCCAUGGCCGAUCUAUGGCUGCUUUGUGAUUGACCCAAUAGGUCAGAACACGAUUUAUCUGAAUGGGCUCGUGCACGUGUUCUUUGAGUGUCCUUACAGUUGUAUUGACUUCCCUGGACGUCAGCCUGUUUCUGGACGUAUAGGCCUUAUCAGGUUCUAGUUUCACUGGGCUUGUGCUGGUCCAGUAGAGUUGGUCCAUUUCAUAAGCUGACUUACCGACUUAUCCAUUUUUCCCCCAACAGUGAGCCCCCCUUACUUCUCGAACCUCCAUAGGUCAGUUCGAGAAGUAAGCUGGUUGGAGCUACGUCGGGUUAUACAUAGACUAGGCCGAGUCAUAUUGUCAUUAAUGUUAAGUAUGGUAGCCAGCCGGUAGUCGAGGUGUUAUCAGUCCGUCAUCAUGACGUGUCGUUUCGUGGCUCGAGGUCACGUGGGGUGUUAAGUCGUCUUUUCGAUGAUGGACUAAUGAGAUCGUGACACGUGGCAUCGUACUUGAUUAUGGAGUUGAGCAACGCAUGGAGUUGCGCCACAUGUCGAGCCGGGGUAAUCGAAGGGACGUCGUAUGGGCUCGCAUUGAUGGGCGUUUAUAACGCCUGCCACAUGGCACGUCUAUAUAAGGGAAGCCCAAACCCUUAGGGGUUUUCCUUCCGCGUUUGUAUUCCCUUCCUCUUUCACUUUCUUCUUUCUUCCUGGAUGAUUUCCGCUGUCCAUCUCUCCUACAACUAGGCUAGCGACUUGACCAUUUUUCUCCGAUGAGCACCAUCUCUCCCUCCUGUCAUUUCUUUGAUUUCCGAGUAGCUUUACUUGUUAAUAUCAUGUCCAGCUCAUUGAGCUCACGGGAGGGGGUUUCUGGCGGCGACAACGGGGCGAGCUCUUGCCUUAGGGUAACGUAAAACCCACUGUCGCCGCUGGUGAUCACAACGGAGUUCGAUUUCUGUUCGUUGGCGUUGCGGGUGCUGGAGCAGUCUCAUGCCCAGAGGUCGAUGCCCGUGGCUAGGGCGUUGAAUUUGUCCCCCAUUGCGGAGGACAUUGCCCGUGCCUAGGGCGUCCAACACAUCUCCGACCAUGGGCUCAGCGGCCAUGGGGCGCGACCGUUCCAGAGAGGUCGAUGAUGAGGGCCCGAGGGGAUCGGUGCCCUCGACCUUAUCUAAAGAAGAGUUGGCCCGGAUCAGGGUCGGAUAUCAUGUCCCUGAGUCUGUGGUCCUUCGGCUUCCUUCGCCAAACAAGCUUCUGGACCGACCUCCAAAGGGGGCCGUCGCGAUCUUCCAUAUCGCGCUUCAGUGCGGCCUAUGGCUUCCUUUGCAGGGAAUAGUCAGGCGUUUGCUAGCUCGCCUUGGCUUGGCCCCUGGAUAUUGAUCCCGAACGGGUGAAGGGCUUUGUUUGGCUGUGUCGUCCUUUGGGCCGAGCUAGACCAACUCGAGCUGUCUGUGGACGAGUUCCUCUAUUGUACUAGCUGAAGCCGAACCAUCUCCAGCCAGGCUGGUGCUACUUCACUUGGCGGAAUAUUAGCGGGGCCCUUAUAAUCGACCCUCCAUCCUCCAACAAAAAUUAGAGAGACAAAUGGUUCUGGGCUUACAGGUGCUAGGAGACAGCCGAGCCAGAAUCGACUACCAUUGUUCCCCGGGCUUUCUUUGAUCUAGGUUAGCAUUGCAGUAAUUGUGCUUUAAUUGGUCGAUCUUUACUGUCAUCUGACCUUUGUUGCAUGUGUCUUUUAUUGUAGUCACACCCAAACAUCCUCCUAUGCUUAGCAGCGGAUCGUUAGCUCAGAUCCAUGAUUUCUGGGCGCUCGAGGAGGGGAAGAGGUCUUGGAGAAUGCUUCUUCAGCCCGAGCUACUCCUCAAAAUGGGCUUAGAUUCCGCUCUUACAAGUAAGAGCUUUUAGAUGCCUGAAGCUCGACCCUUCCUCUGUCCUCCCUCAAAGGUUCACACGUCCCCUCAAGACAAAACAGCGACGCCGAAGAAGAAGAAACCAAAGACCUCCUCUAAGGCCAAGGGGAAGGUCAGGCCUUCUUGCUCGGUCGUCCUAGAAGUUGACGAUGAGGGCAUGGAGGUGGAAACCUCCUCUGAAGCGGUGGGAGCAACUACUCCCGAAAGUGUCACUCCUGUUAAGCUUCCUGCCGAGGCUCGUCCUGCAGAGGGGGUGGAGGCGGAAGAGAACUGAGGAGUCCUUUGCCAGACCAUGGAGGAGGUCCUCCCAUGGGUAGAGUGCCACACGGUCGAGCAGGAGUAUGCUGCUUUGUUUGGCUCUCCCAUGGACGCUCCUCGGACACCUGUCGACGACUCUUCUUGGGUUCGCCCCGUGCUUAUUGAGGGCCCAUGCCGAGUUCGCUUGAAUGCGGACUCAGGCGGAGGCUACCGAACAACAAGUAGCUUGUUCCAAAGUCGAGCUAUGGGAUGCGAAGAUGACUUUUGAGGCAUCUUUUGCUAAGAAAACCGAGGUAGUUGCGCGGCUAGAGGAAGCCAAGGGCUUGCAUGAUGAGUGUCACGCUCGACUCGUCAGGACCGAGGUGAAGUUGGAGAAGUUGAGGAAGGAGACCAAGGCUACGAUUGCCAUAACUCGGAAGGAGGUGGUCCAGGAGUUCGUAACAUCUCAAGUGUUCCUAGACGAGAGGGAUAACCUCUUUUGUCAAGGUUACGUCGAGUGCGUGAGGGCGAUGAAGGAAUCCUUCAUAGAGCUUGAUCUCUUCGCUUUUGAUGAGCCAGAGUUGAGCUCCGAUGGGUUGGGCGAUGGAGCGGCUCUUGAGGAGACUUCAGAGGUGACUCCAGAGCAACCUUCUGAGGCCUGAUGUUUGGCUUUUACAAAGCAAUAUUUCCUUCAUCUUGUUUUGCUUCUCCCUUUUUCAACUUCAAGCACUUCAAGCGCACUUCGCCCAAGCUUUUUUCAACUUCAAGCACUUCAAGCGCUCUUUGCCUAUGCCCUUUUUUCUAU